rnacentral:rRNA from 1 species
GACGAACCGUGCGAACGUUAUUCGGAAUCACUGGGCUUAAAGGGCGCGUAGGCGGGCGCGAAAGUCAGAGGUGAAAGCCCCCGGCUCAACCGGGGAAGUGCCUUUGAUACUGACUGUCUUGAGUACGGGAGAGGUGUGUGGAACUCCGAGUGUAGAGGUGAAAUUCGUAGAUAUUCGGAAGAACACCAGUGGCGAAGGCGACACACUGGCCCGUUACUGACGCUGAGGCGCGAAAGCGUGGGGAGCGAACAGG